rnacentral:lncRNA from 1 species
AAUGCGAAGAAAUGGUCUAAUAUUGCUGCACAAUAUUGUGCCCUCAUUGUCAGCAGGAAAAAGGAUACCGAGCUUUACACAGCAAAGGGCAGCAUGAAUGUUGACAGCCCCAAUGGCAGUAGCCAAGGUGGUUUCCAGGAUACCAUGAUUCAUUGCAUUUUUGCAGUGGUAAAAAGUAUUAGGACAAUCCAUUAUUUCAGACAAUCACCAUUACUUAAUUGCCUUUUGCUGUUGAAAAGUACUUCAACUGGUGUUUCUCCUGCUGUAUUUGAAAACUGGUCCACUCACCCCUGAUGAGUAAUUAUAUAAUUGAGAUUUAUUUACACAAAAGCUACCUACAGUCAUGGUUUCAGAGAUUAGCUGCCCUCGGGUUGGUCAGCAAUAAGUAGCACUGAAAUGAAACAUUUAUUAUGUGCAGCAGGAUUCAAGGAGGGUGAUAAUUCAAGUGUAGUGAUAACUAGUCUAAAGAGACAGUUGCCUGGAUAUUUCAUUUCUCAUUGUAUAUUCGGAGAUAAAAGAAAGUAUAGCUGAAUUU